rnacentral:misc_RNA from 1 species
CGUCCGCGCGACUGUCGUUGUCGUAGUCGUCGUCAUCGUUGUCGUCGUCGUCGUUGUCGUCGUCGUCGUCGUCGUCUGUCCGGUACAGUCACGAACGCACAUUAAACAUAACAUUAUAUUAAAAUAAUUAUUAUCACUAUUAUUAUUAUUAUCAUCAUCAUAUAUAUAAUACAUCCGUUUCUUAACCCACUUAAUAAUAUAAUAUCAUUAUAUUUUGACGGCGAUGGCCAGUGGUAACCUCGGUCACCGCGGUACAACAACACCGGUCGUGGUCGUGGCGGUCUCGCGUUGUCGUAUCCGCCGUCGUCAUACCGCCGUUGUCGCAUAGUACAUAAUAAUAUCGCUGUCGCGGGGUCGUAUCGGACGGGCGCGCGCGACGUCAUCUCGAUCGCAAUCAUUGCCACCGGUAGCUGUGCGAGUGCCGGACGACUGACGGCGGCGAGGUGUUACAAAAUAUUAUGCUGUAGCGUCAAGCGACGGAAAAGGCGGAAAAAAAAAUUAAAAACCAGACGACCGGCAAUAGUGGCGGCGGUGCGGGCGCCGCCGGACGCAGUGCCGCAUGGCCGCGGUGGCUGGACUUUACGGGUUCGGCGACGAUUCCAGGACUGUGGCCGCCCGGUUCGUGGAGAGACAGCGGUUGGCCAACAGGGAUUCGCCCACAGACACGUCGCUGCCGAAACUCAGUACCCAAGACGAAGACGGCUGUGGUCCAGGGGCAAAUCUUGGCACAGGCCUCACACACGGUCAUCCUCAACACUGUUCGGGGAGCGCGACAUUCGAACCGAUACCGCACGACCACGAUUUCUGCGAAAGAGUUACAAUCAACGUGAGCGGUAUGAGGUUCGAGACGCAGCUACGGACGUUGAACCAGUUCCCGGACACGCUGCUGGGAGACCCGUGUCGGAGGAUGCGGUACUUCGAUCCGCUGCGCAACGAGUACUUCUUCGACAGGAACCGGCCGACGUUCGACGCCAUACUCUACUAUUACCAGAGUGGUGGCCGACUGAGGAGGCCAACUACUGUGCCGUUGGACGUGUUCUCCGAGGAGAUAAAGUUCUAUGAGCUCGGUGAACUGGCCACCAAUAAAUUUAGGGAAGAAGAGGGUUUUAUAAAAGAAGAAGAGAAACCACUGCCAAAGCCCGAGUUCCAGCGGAAGGUGUGGCUGCUGUUCGAGUACCCGGAGAGCUCCCAAGCCGCCCGAGUGGUGGCUAUCAUAUCCGUGUUCGUCAUACUGUUAUCCAUCGUUAUAUUCUGCCUGGAAACAUUGCCAGAGUUUAAACACUACAAGGUGUUCAAUACGACGACCAAUGGUACAAAGAUCGAGGAGGAUGAGGUGCCCGACAUCACCGACCCGUUCUUUUUGAUCGAGACCAUUUGUAUCGUAUGGUUCACGUUCGAGCUGUCCGUCCGCUUUCUCGCCUGCCCCAACAAGUUACACUUCUUCAAGGACGUGAUGAAUACGAUCGACAUAAUCGCCAUAAUACCAUAUUUCAUCACGUUGGCAACGGUGAUUGCCGAGGAGGAGGACCCUACGAUGAAUCUGCCCAAGGCGCCGCAGAACCCACAAGACAAGAGCACCAACCAGGCCAUGUCACUGGCCAUACUUAGAGUCAUCCGGCUUGUGAGGGUUUUCAGGAUAUUCAAACUUUCCCGACAUUCCAAGGGACUGCAAAUUCUCGGGCGUACCUUGAAAGCCUCUAUGCGAGAACUGGGAUUGCUCAUAUUUUUCUUGUUUAUCGGUGUGGUGCUAUUCUCGAGCGCGGUGUACUUCGCUGAAGCCGGCUCAGAGAAUUCCUUCUUCAAGUCCAUCCCGGACGCAUUCUGGUGGGCUGUUGUUACCAUGACGACUGUGGGCUAUGGUGACAUGACGUAUGAUACCAGUGGGCGUGUGGGGGAAAAUUGUCGGCUCGCUGUGCGCGAUUGCCGGUGUGCUCACAAUCGCACUGCCCGUGCCCGUCAUCGUGUCCAACUUCAACUAUUUCUAUCACAGAGAGACUGACCAAGAAGACAUGCAAUCGCAGAACUUCAACCACGUCACCAGCUGCCCUUAUCUUCCCGGUACUUUAGGUCAACACAUGGUGAAAUAUCCGUCGGGUGGUGACUCGACGUCGGACCUGAUGGAUUUGGAGUCGGCCGACAAUUGCCUGCUGGAC